rnacentral:lncRNA from 1 species
GCGAAUAUAAGCAGCCGCAUUCCUUGUUCUACAUAUUGACACCCUAUAUUAUACAGUAAAACCUCAUUAACCCGGGUCUCACGGGACCGGCGAAAAUGUCCGAGUUAACCGAAUUCCAGAUUAUCGAAUGGACCAUGAAAACAAAAGGAAAAUGUGCCCGGCACGGACAAACCUUUAUUUAAUAAAAAACUGCGUUAUUUUUGUCUGCCUCGCCGUCGGAAUUUGUGCUAGAACGAUCUUCUUCAACCUUAUCAGGUGGUGGUGGUGCGCACGCUCGCUGUCGCAAGAACUGACAAAGAACUCCUCGAGGACAGCGAGGGCUUCAGAGGCCUCCUGCACGGUGCGAUGUCGCAUCGGCUCAUCUUGACUGUCGUCAUCGGAACAGUGAUUCUGAUCCUUUUCAAGCACUUCCGAUAAUAUGUCAUCGUCAGUCAGCGGACCAGCAACGGCGACAUAGUCUAUAAUCUGGACGCCACUAGGAAGGAGAGACCUAUCUCCUGCCGAGAAACACCUGCGUUCACGUCAUUCAAUAUCAUCACCUUUCUUUCUAGAUCAUUUGCUGGCUGCUGUUGCCGCUUCACUUAGGUGACGGUCGCCAUCACUAUGAAGCGCGACGGCGGCGGCAACGCGCACAAGCACAGCCAGAGAAUGCAAUAUGCACGAGCUCGCACACUACGCCUGAAGUCACAACACAAAGAAACCAGUAGCAAAGGCACAGGCGUAGACAAUGGAUGCGCCGGCGGCCCAAGCGCUUCCGCCGAGUGGUGACUAGCGCCACCUAGCCACUUCCCCCCUCUCAUUCACUAUCAUCAUGAUCAUAUCCUGCUGGAGUCGUUCGUUCGGUUUCUCCAAAACUCUGGUUCCGCCAUCGGUUACGGCAAGC